rnacentral:rRNA from 1 species
AUUGAACGCUGGCGGCAGGCCUAACACAUGCACGUCGAACGAGAGGCGGACGGGUGAGUAAUGUCUGGGAACCUGCCUGAUGGAGGGGGAUAACUACUGGAAACGGUAGCUAAUACCGCAUACGAUCAGAUGUGCCCAGAUGGGUUUAGCUAGUUGGGGGGGUAACGGCUAACCAAGGCGACGAUCCCUAGCUGGUCUGAGAGGAUGACCAGCCACACUGGAACUGAGACACGGUCCAGACUCCUACGGGAGGCAGCAGUGGGGAAUAUUGCACAAUGGGCGAAAGCCUGAUGCAGCCAUGCCGCGUGGAUGAAGAAGGCCUUCGGGUUGUAAAGUACUUUCGGCGGGGAGGCGUUACCCGCAGAAGAAGCACCGGCUAACUCCGUGCCAGCAGCCGCGGUAAUAC